rnacentral:rRNA from 1 species
CGUUAUCCGGAUUUAUUGGGCGUAAAGCGAGCGCAGGCGGUUAGAUAAGUCUGAAGUUAAAGGCUGUGGCUUAACCAUAGUACGCUUUGGAAACUGUUUAACUUGAGUGCAGAAGGGGAGAGUGGAAUUCCAUGUGUAGCGGUGAAAUGCGUAGAUAUAUGGAGGAACACCGGUGGCGAAAGCGGCUCUCUGGUCUGUAACUGACGCUGAGGCUCGAAAGCGUGGGGAGCAAACAGGAUUAGAUACCCUGGUAGUCAAGGGCGAAUUCGC